ACGACUUUAAAUAUUAAAGAUUCGAAAUUGCGCGACCGACUUCGCUUUAUUCUUAAAUCGUAAACUUUCAUAAGAAAAAUCAAAUAUUCUCCUACAGUUUCAUUAUAAAAAAUAUUGCAAGUUAUAUGCAUACAUAACGAGUAUUGCGAAGACUGACUACCUUUGUAAGGUUGGCAAUUAGAAGCCAUUCAAUGACAAAAGAUAAGAAUUAAAUAAAUAAUAAAAUAAAUAAAAUAAUAAUAACCAAAGUUUCUUUACUAUAUUUUGAAAUUCGCAUAGCAAAUCGAAUUUCCUGUUACACGGUGAAAUCCUAUUGAUUGUCGAUAGAUGCAUAGAAUACAAUUUUACAAUACAAUUUACAAAUAGAAAACUAUUUAUUAAAGCCUUCUAUACGUAUAUACUUACCAUAAACAAUAUUUAAAGAAUUCCUGGUACCUGCACACAAACACGCUGAACCCAAUUUCUGCAGCGAUCGGUAGCCUCAAAAAUGCCUUAAAACACGAACAGCUCGUUACAUGGAACAUUCCUGCCUCUUGAUAUUUUCUCACAUUACAGGUGACCGAUAUGUUUUCGUUUACCGCGUGGCCUGUAACGUAUACGUGGUUACGUGGUCGCAAUCGUACGGGACCCCGUGAAAGGAUCUCGUUAAGUCUCGCCACGAUCGUAUUUGGACUUUUUCAUCGAAUAAACGGUCCACCGGGAUCGCAUUAAUAUGGAACUCCGACGAUCGGUAUAAUUAACUCGUCCACAACGCUUAUUUAUUCGAUCGGCCCAUAUCGCUAUCCGCGUAAAACAGCCUGUCAAACGUGGCCACCGAUGAACCUGUUCCGCGUCGGACUGUGUCGAGAUAAUCCGGAUGGGGCUCCUGAUUGAAACGCGUUGAGACACGCAGGUGCUUUAAAUACGAUAGCAUUAACGAUAGAGGCAUGAAAUUUGCAUCAAAGAAAUUUUAAUGACAAGUACAUGAAAAAUUUAUAAUACAAGGGGAAAGAAAUGCUUUCAUUCAUAUACGAGUCCCUUAUAUUCGUUAAAUAUUUUUGUUAACACGCUUCUUAAUUUCAUGAAAUAAGUGGAUGAUUAUUUCGAUUCUCAAGAAACGAACGUCCUAUUUGUAUAAAUUCAUCGUAGGUCUGUUGCAAGAAGAUGACGUAAAUGAUAUUAAAUCUUAAGAUAAACUACGGUAGGCAAGUGCACUAACGAAAUGUUACUAUUUUCCAAGAAGCAUAUACAAAAGAUAUUCUUCCCUUUCGAAAUCAAAAUUCUGGGAAUCCUGCCCCUAACGAUCACCUCGCGAUUACAUUCUUCUAUCAUCAUACACAAGAUUCUAUUACGAAUUAAAGGAACCACUGUCGUCCCAAAAGGGGCGAGCAAAUUAAUAAACAAAACUCGAAAGAAAAAGAAGAAAAACAAGUAUAAAAGACGAACGAAAUAAUGGAGCCUGGAAUGAGGAAAGAGAAGAAAGAAAAAGAAGAAGGUGUGGGAAAGAGGCGAGGUUGGAGCAUUUGAUAGAACACUUUGUGCCUCAAGCGUGGCCAGUGCAACGACAUGCAUCGGCCGCAGCAAGGGCGACAUUAUCGCCGGUUGCACACACCGCGCGGCUGCGGAUGGUGCGGUAUGGUGGUUAGGGGCGGUUAGGGCAGUGCACCACAAGGGUGGUCAAACCGCAAACGAGACCACCGUCCUGGCUAUCUGCUAUCUGGAUAACCACCGCCGCCGCCGAUGCCCUCCGCCUCCGCGUUCGCCUCCUGCACACCUCCGCCUCCGGAAUGAGAGAGACAGACAAGCGUUUCGUUCUGUGAAUGGGCCUCCGGUGGCACGAGACAAGAAAAUGUUCACUUGUGCCGCGCGAACGAGGAGGAUCGAGGAGCUGAUACGUGGAGCGUUAACGAUCUCCUUGGGUGGCACGGUAAUUACUUAAUGCCGAAGUUUUCAAGGCUUUUUAAGAUGCGAAGAGAGGAAGAAUACGUUUAAUCGCGAUGCUAUUCGGCUUUUUGUGGAGAAUUGUAUUGUCGUGAUUGCCAGUUGUGUGUUUCGAGUGCGCUUUUUAUCGCUGGUUUAUAUGACUCGAAGAAGCUCCCUUUUUGUUAAUAAGUACUUGUUGCCGCUGCUUUUUGGGGGCAUGUGUAAUUUGUUGAAACGAUGGUAUGACGAGAUAUGAAGAAUUGGGAUGAUUGUCAGUCCGCUUAUGUGUUAUUAGGAGAAUUUAAUAACGCACAAUUUCUGCCAUUUGAUAUCCAGACUGCAUAGUAAAACAGCUUCAAUAUGUAAUUACCGCGAUUAAUCCCAAUCAAAAGAUAUCAACAUCCAAUCAUCGUUAUCCAAAACUCUAAUUUUUCUGCCUUCUGUUCUCGUCAACACGUAAAAUCGCGAAUCAACGAAAUCGCCCGACAACCCCCGAUCCCACAUCAUCUCCCUAUUCAUUUGACUAAAUACAUCUAUCCAAAAUCACAAGACCUCGCUAACGAAACAAUAUCAGAAGCAUCCUUAAAAAUCCGUGAAACAGUAAUCAAAUGUUUCUCAUUCCUGGGAAAGAACAAAAUCAACAGCCUUUAAUUUCAAUUAAUUUCAAAUCUACGUAGGUAUAGGUCGCUGCAUAUCCAUGGAGUAUCGCAAAACUGAUCGACGACGAUCGUCGUGGAGCAUGAACUAUCGAGCAACACGAUUUUCGCUUCGCUCGAUUGCGUAAAUCAGACGCGUCCGUUUAACUAGUCUCAACAAGAGCAACUCUUAUUUAAUCGAUCUCGGUUAAUCGUCGAUCCUUAUCGAUCGUCCCUAUAUCCCACUCUUAAAUCGAGCCAUUCGAACGAUCUCUGUACACGUACAACUCAUCCCCUUGCAUACUCCUACUGGCUGUGAUUUCACGCGAGGGAACGCCCCGAGGGAAACCGCGAAGUACGCGGCGGUGUCGCAAUUUUUCAAGUGGAACGAAAAAAACCACUGCGGCGGUGGCUGAGUUUUUGCGGCCGGUCGGCGAUCGUAGACGCUAGAAGGAGAACGAAUAAAUUGAAUAGCCCAGGAGGGGAAGGGUUUCUUUGUGCAAGGUGCGAGGAUAAAAAUCUCCGGUCGCCGUGUGCAAUUACCUUGGCAUGUAAUUGCAGCGAUUCACUCAGCUGCGCCUCGACCAGGCUGCACGAUAAAUUCCUCCUUCUUCGCCUUCCUUUCUGCCCUCCUCCUCUUACCCUUUCUGUGCUAUUCGUUCUCUUUCCAUCAUUCUCUCUCUCGCUCUCUCUCUGUUUCGCUUUUUCUCUUUCUGGUUUCGUUUACGGCUACCGAGAAAUUUAAGCGCACCACGGCUCAUCGGCUAAAGGGGCGCCUGUAUAUUUAUGCGACGCACAGAGGGAGAGUGCAGCAACGUUUUAUGCCCGUACACAUGUUUAGCUGCGUUUACGAUCCCGCGAGCCAGCUGCCGUUUUACGUGGAUCUCUCGAUCGUUUCCUCGUCUUUUCCGAGGACGAGCCGCACGUUUCUAACCUGGUAAAUCUGCUCUCCGUUUGCUGCUGAUUUUAAUCUCCUACCGACCUCUAAUUCACGCGGUCACGGGCUGCUCCAGUUAGGCUCGAUCGGCCGAGUAAUUGCGCCUUUGCGAGGUUUUUAAGGAGAUCAAUCUUUUUGUUUCUUGCUUUUGCAUUAGAUAAUCCAUGAGUCUUUCGGAUCGCGCGGCAAACCUCUUUUUAUGCUUUAUUUGUCUUUAUUAACACGUUGGUCAUCCAGCGUGGUUCGGCCAAGUUUCCUGCGGGGCCCAAAUCCGACCGCCGGUACGUAGAACGUAGAUAGAGCGACAAGCGGGAAUUCAUUGUUUAUCGCCUUCGAUUCAUUGAAAAGAAAAGAUCAUUUAGUUCUGAAAUGGAGAAAGCAAUAAGCUUUCCAGCUAGGGUAUUCCGAGGGAUCUCGUGGCAGAUAUCUUAGAUUUUUCAUUUAGUCGAGAAGCAUACUUGUGAGAU